UGGCCCAUUUUGAUUUUCUUUUAUUUGUUUUCUAUUAGUUUUCAUUUUCUAAUAAGUUUUGUUUUUUUUAAGUAAAACAAAUUUCAUUUUUGUUAUAUAAUAUUUUCUUUAUUUUUAGUUUAGUAAUGUUUCAAAAAAGAUAAAAAUUAAUUUUUCUAUUUAUUAUUCACUUAUGUAUUUUCUUUUUAUAUAUAUAUAUAUUUCAAAAAAAGACAAAAAGAGGAGAGAUUUAUU
rnacentral:lncRNA from 1 species